rnacentral:rRNA from 1 species
UACGGAAGGUAGCAGUGGGGAAUAUUGCACAAUGGGCGCAAGCCUGAUGCAGCCAUGCCGCGUGUAUGAAGAAGGCCUUCGGGUUGUAAAGUACUUUCAGUCGUGAGGAAGGUGUUAAGGUUAAUAACCUUAGCAAUUGACGUUAGCGACAGAAGAAGCACCGGCUAACUCCGUGCCAGCAGCCGCGGUAAUACGGAGGGUGCGAGCGUUAAUCGGAAUUACUGGGCGUAAAGGGCACGCAGGCGGUUAAUUAAGUUGGAUGUGAAAUCCCCGGGCUUAACCUGGGAAUGGCAUUCAAGACUGGUUAGCUAGAGUCUUGUAGAGGGGGUAGAAUUCCAUGUGUAGCGGUGAAAUGCGUAGAGAUGUGGAGGAAUACCGGUGGCGAAGGCGGCCCCUGGACAAAGACUGACGCUCAUGUGCGAAAGCGUGGGGAGCGAAACAGGGAUUAGAUACC